rnacentral:rRNA from 1 species
AGGAAUAUUGGUCAAUGGGCGAGAGCCUGAACCAGCCAAGUAGCGUGAAGGAUGAAGGUCCUACGGAUUGUAAACUUCUUUUAUACGGGAAUAAAGUUUCCUACGUGUAGGAUUUUGUAUGUACCGUAUGAAUAAGCAUCGGCUAACUCCGUGCCAGCAGCCGCGGUAAUACGGAGGAUGCGAGCGUUAUCCGGAUUUAUUGGGUUUAAAGGGAGCGCAGACGGGAGAUUAAGUCAGUUGUGAAAGUUUGCGGCUCAACCGUAAAAUUGCAGUUGAUACUGGUUUCCUUGAGUGCAGUUGAGGCAGGCGGAAUUCGUGGUGUAGCGGUGAAAUGCUUAGAUAUCACGAAGAACCCCGAUUGCGAAGGCAGCUUGCUAAACUGUAACUGACGUUCAUGCUCGAAAGUGUGGGUAUCAAACAGGAUUAGAUACCCUGGUAGUCCACACGGUAAACGAUGGAUACUCGCUGUUGGCGAUAUACUGUCAGCGGCCAAGCGAAAGCAUUAAGUAUCCCACCUGGGGAGUACGCCGGCAACGGUGAAACUCAAAGGAAUUGACGGGGGCCCGCACAAGCGGAGGAACAUGUGGUUUAAUUCGAUGAUACGCGAGGAACCUUACCCGGGCUUAAAUUGCAGACGAAUUACGAGGAAACUUGUAAGCCGCAAGGCGUCUGUGAAGGUGCUGCAUGGUUGUCGUCAGCUCGUGCCGUGAGGUGUCGGCUUAAGUGCCAUAACGAGCGCAACCCUCGUGGUCAGUUACUAACAGGUUAAGCUGAGGACUCUGGCCAGACUGCCAUCGUAAGAUGUGAGGAAGGUGGGGAUGACGUCAAAUCAGCACGGCCCUUACGUCCGGGGCUACACACGUGUUACAAUGGGAGGUACAGAAGGCAGCUACCCGGCGACGGGAUGCCAAUCCCCAAAACCUCUCUCAGUUCGGACUGGAGUCUGCAACCCGACUCCACGAAGCUGGAUUCGCUAGUAAUCGCGCAUCAGCCACGGCGCGGUGAAUACGUUCCCG